CCUACGGGGUGCAGCAGUGGGGAAUAUUGGACAAUGGGGGGAACCCUGAUCCAGCCAUGCCGCGUGUGUGAAGAAGGCCCUCGGGUUGUAAAGCACUUUCAGUGAGGAAGAACGCCUGGUGGUUAAUACCCAUCAGGAAAGACAUCACUCACAGAAGAAGCACCGGCUAACUCCGUGCCAGCAGCCGCGGUAAUACGGAGGGUGCGAGCGUUAAUCGGAAUUACUGGGCGUAAAGCGCGCGUAGGUGGCUUGAUAAGCCGGUUGUGAAAGCCCCGGGCUCAACCUGGGAACGGCAUCCGGAACUGUCAAGCUAGAGUGCAGGAGAGGAAGGUAGAAUUCCCGGUGUAGCGGUGAAAUGCGUAGAGAUCGGGAGGAAUACCAGUGGCGAAGGCGGCCUUCUGGACUGACACUGACACUGAGGUGCGAAAGCGUGGGUAGCAAACAGGAUUAGAUACCCCAGUAGUC
rnacentral:rRNA from 1 species